rnacentral:rRNA from 1 species
UACGUAGGGUGCAAGCGUUGUUCGGAAUUACUGGGCGUAAAGCGCACGUAGGCGGCUUUGUAAGUUAGAGGUGAAAGCCCAGGGCUCAACCCUGGAAUUGCCUUUAAGACUGCAUCGCUUGAACAUCGGAGAGGUAAGUGGAAUUCCGAGUGUAGAGGUGAAAUUCGUAGAUAUUCGGAAGAACACCAGUGGCGAAGGCGACUUACUGGACGAUUGUUGACGCUGAGGUGCGAAAGCGUGGGGAGCAAACAGG